CACCAGACUCCUACGGGAGGCAGCAGUGGGGAAUAUUGCACAAUGGGGGAAACCCUGAUGCAGCGACGCCGCGUGAGUGAAGAAGUAAUUCGUUAUGUAAAGCUCUAUCAGCAGGGAAGAAAAUGACGGUACCUGAGUAAGAAGCCCCGGCUAACUACGUGCCAGCAGCCGCGGUAAUACGUAGGGGGCAAGCGUUAUCCGGAUUUACUGGGUGUAAAGGGAGCGUAGACGGCAGUGCAAGUCUGGAGUGAAAGCCCGGGGCUCAACCCCGGGACUGCAUUUGGAACUGUAAGGCUAGAGUGUCGGAGAGGCAGGCGGAAUUCCUAGUGUAGCGGUGAAAUGCGUAGAUAUUAGGAGGAACACCAGUGGCGAAGGCGGCCUGCUGGACGAUGACUGACGUUGAGGCUCGAAAGCGUGGGGAGCAAACAGGAUUAGAUACCCUUGUAC
rnacentral:rRNA from 1 species